ACUCAAAUGAAUAGACGGGGGCCCGCACAAGCAGUGGAGUAUGUGGAUUAAUUCGAUGCAACGCGAAAAACCUUACCUGGGCUUGACAUCCCAAGAACGUCGCGGAAACGCGACAGUGCCCUUCGGGGAGCUUGGAGACAGGUGGUGCAUGGUUGUCGUCAGCUCGUGUCGUGAGAUGUUGGGUUAAGUCCCGCAACGAGCGCAACCCUUACGGUUAGUUGCUACGCGAGAGCACUCUGGCCGGACUGCCGUUGACAAAACGGAGGAAGGUGGGGACGACGUCAAAUCAUCAUGCCCUUUAUGUCCAGGGCUUCACACGUACUACAAUGGCGAUCAACAACGGGUAGCGAAGGCGCGAGCCGGAGCCAAUCUCUAAAAAUCGCCUCAGUUCGGAUUGCAGGCUGCAACCCGCCUGCAUGAAGUCGGAAUUGCUAGUAAUCGCGGAUCAGCAUGCCGCGGUGAAUACGUUCCCGGGCCUUGUACACACCGCCCGU
rnacentral:rRNA from 1 species